rnacentral:rRNA from 1 species
AGAGUUUGAUCCUGGCUCAGGACGAACGCUGGCGGCGCGCCUAACACAUGCAAGUCGAACGAGAGAUGAAGAGCUUGCUCUUCAAAUCGAGUGGCGAACGGGUGAGUAACGCGUGAGGAACCUGCCUCAAAGAGGGGGACAACAGUUGGAAACGACUGCUAAUACCGCAUAAGCCCACGGCUCGGCAUCGAGCAGAGGGAAAAGGAGCAAUCCGCUUUGAGAUGGCCUCGCGUCCGAUUAGCUAGUUGGUGAGGUAACGGCCCACCAAGGCGACGAUCGGUAGCCGGACUGAGAGGUUGAACGGCCACAUUGGGACUGAGACACGGCCCAGACUCCUACGGGAGGCAGCAGUGGGGAAUAUUGCACAAUGGGGGAAACCCUGAUGCAGCGACGCCGCGUGGAGGAAGAAGGUCUUCGGAUUGUAAACUCCUGUUGUUGAGGAAGAUAAUGACGGUACUCAACAAGGAAGUGACGGCUAACUACGUGCCAGCAGCCGCGGUAAAACGUAGGUCACAAGCGUUGUCCGGAAUUACUGGGUGUAAAGGGAGCGCAGGCGGGAGAACAAGUUGGAAGUGAAAUCCAUGGGCUCAACCCAUGAACUGCUUUCAAAACUGUUUUUCUUGAGUAGUGCAGAGGUAGGCGGAAUUCCCGGUGUAGCGGUGGAAUGCGUAGAUAUCGGGAGGAACACCAGUGGCGAAGGCGGCCUACUGGGCACCAACUGACGCUGAGGCUCGAAAGUGUGGGUAGCAAACAGGAUUAGAUACCCUGGUAGUCCACGCCGUAAACGAUGAAAUCUAGGUGUUGGGAAGCAUUGCUUCCUCGGGGCCGCCGCCAACCCAGUA